AUUGUCAGAACUUUCUCCGUCCACCUAAGUUUGUGACGUGUGAAUGAAUGUCCAUCGGUAUCAUAGAUAGACCUUUAACGAUGAGCAGACAAACAAAACGAAUAUAAUACUCGUAGCAGUUUGUCAAUACAUGUAGCUGAGUUAUAAUUUUGAGAGCAUAAUUUGACAAAAACGAAUUCUUAUGCCAGGUUAUACUGCUAGCACGUGCAAACUUGCCAUUUUGCAAUAUGAGAAAUGGUUAUUGAUCAGACAUUAUCUAUUGUGUAACAUUCUGUUUCAUUUUCUGUAGAUGUGAUAAAUUCACGUCUCAUGAGCUAAUUCCCGGAUUCAUAUUUUUUUUAAGAGUCCAAUGCUCUAAUUAUGUAUAUGGUGUGAAAGCUCUCCUGUGUAGUGAUUUCAUUGUGCGACUUUCAUAUGGAAUGGGUCUGGUUGUGAAUUAUCUUACCUUAUUAAUAGAGCUUCGUUUCUGUAGACAGAAAUCACCUGGAUGUGAUUACUUGCGAAGGUCCACUCUCUUCAACGGUGGAAAGAGUAGUAUUCUUAGUUUUACCUUGUUAUGCUUUUUAGUAAUUUUUUCUUUCUACAUACAUUAGUGUUUGUUGCCUUCCUGAGCUCUUGAUAGUAUUAUAUGAAGAAGAAAAGCAAAGGGGUCAGAAAAUUUCGAUAGAGAACUCGAGGAUAUGAUAAAUAGGGUCAAUAUGGAGUGCGAAAGGAAAAUUCAGAGGGCACUCAACCAGAAAUUGAACUAUGAAGACGCAAAACUCUACACAGGAUACUUGUUGUGCUUCUUCAUGUUUACUGUUUACAAUCGUAGCUUAAAAUGGUUGUUCAUACAAGGUGAUAUAAUCUGACACCUGCAGGUUUACAUAAGUCUAGAGAACGCUUAUUGAGUAAGAAGGAUCCAUAAAGAUCCAAGAUUUUGCGUCUGUUUGUAUUCUCGACGAACAAGCACAACCAUGGGUUGAGGGAGACCCUCAAGACCUACAGCAAUUGGCCAACUUCCUGAGGGGAGCUUGUGGGCUGGUUACCGCGAACCGCUGACUCUGACUGCAGAUAUUCCACAAGGAACUAUUUUUCUAUGGCCAUGAUCAACUUGUUAAGAUUUCAAAGUAGGUAUGCUGGCUACCAAUAGCCUGACGGCGGCAUGUUUGUAUCUUCAAGCUGAUGUAUGAUUUCUAAAUUUCCCCAUCCAAAAUCUUAAGCUGUGUUUUAUUCGGUAGUUGUGUUGGUGACUGAAAGUAGAAACAGAAAGGAGAUUUGCAAGUCAUGAUGACAAAGCGUAGAUGGAAUAAAAACGAGGCAAUGACAACAAUGGAGCAUAGCUGAGUGAUGAUGUAGCAAUUGCAGAGCCAGCCCACAAUGUUGUUUGAUGGGCACAUGGAGAGGAUAGAACAUGAUACCAUGUCUCUCGAAGGGUUGCGAGGGUUGAGAAGAAAACACACAAUGCAGUGGAAGAAAGACCAAAACAUUAAAAAUUCAAAACAGCGUUGCUAUGAAUUCUGUAUAUCCCGCCUCGAGCACCCUCGAUGUUGCGACACAGAUGCCUCCUCGCUACUGAUUGCCCUGCUGGAAGAAUUUGCUGCGUCGGGUAACCGAGAAUUUGGUAAUCCGUGAAAAUGCCAAGGAUCCUCCUUAAUUCUGUGCAGCAUGUGGCUUGCAAAUUUGCAAUAGUAGAUUAGUCGUGCCGAGGUCAUGGUUUGGAGUUCCAAGCAGUACAAUCCCUAAAGAAAUGCUGUCAAAAAAAAAACGAUCCCUAAAGUCUAAAGACAUAGGUUGAGCGUUCAUAGCAUAGGAUCUCAAUGCUCUAAGAAAGAUGAAUAAAAAAAGUGAAUGUCAUGUUUGAAAUACACUUCCUGAUGGAUUCUGAAUAAGUACUGCGGCACUCCAGUUUGUUA